rnacentral:rRNA from 1 species
AUGUUCUCUGAGGAGGGGGACCGACAGCGUGUUCUUCAAGCUGGGCCAUGGCACUACCAGAACGAUGCGGUGCUCAUCAAGGACUUCGACGGCGUGGGUAACCCUGUGGACGUGCGCCUAGAUUCUUUAAGUAUCUGGGUGCAAAUUCAUGGGUUGCCCAUCAUCCUCAAGACUGAAGACAUGGAGUGGAAGCUUGGAAAGAAGCUCGGCACCGUCCUCGCCGUGUCGCACCGCAACAAUCAAAUCGUUGACGAGCAUCUCCGUGUUCGUGUUCAGCACCCGGUGGAGAAGCCAUUGAGGAAGAACGUCGACAUAACCCCAAAAGGUAGCACCAAACCGAUCCUUUUCGAUGUCAAGUAUGAGAAGCUGCCAAACUUCUAUUUUUGCUGCGGAGUGGUGGGACACACGACAGAGAAGUUCUGCAGCAUGCCCAAAGAGCUGUGGAAGGCGUCCUACUCCACCAACAUAAGGGCGCCUCCGUAUUGGGCCUUUGCUCGUAGACAAAUCGAUUUUGGGAAGAAGCCGGUGAAGGACAAGGUGAUCACGGAGGUGGCCUCGGUGGUCAAAAGACUAUACUUGUCUGCUACUGCAGAUACGACUACGGCGUCAGCUUCGGUGGACGGUUCUGCUCCGGUUGCCACUGACGCACCAAACGCGUUGGAGCAGCUUGUGCUCGCUGGCGGGGGUACCAACAACUCCAACAAUGGGCCCCCUGUUCAGUUUGCUACUAGAGGCCUGGAGGCGUCCAAUGACAUGGCUGGAGCACUCCUCAACACCAACUCAGGAGCUCCGGCUGGUCAAAUGAGUGAGCUGAUGGAUAAGGGAACUGGGGAGCACCUCCACUCUAACCUGGGUGCUCCUGGGUCUCCUACUGCUGCUGCUAUGGCGUCUAUGCAGAAGCAGCCGCAGAUGGGGGAUGUACAACCUAUGGAUCAGGCGAAGGCUAAAGCUCAUGGUGGUCGCGAGGGUGCUGCUGCUGAUGGCGUACAGCAGCGUGCUCUGGCUACUGCUGGAGUCCAGCGAUGGAAGAGGCUUCAUCGAGAAGAGCAGGAAGGAAGGAGAUGGUGCAAUCUGCAUGUGCUAAACAUGUGGUUUUUCGCAUCCCCACACCACCAAACAGCGGCAGCGAGCUCUCUAGUCGCAAGAUGA